rnacentral:lncRNA from 1 species
CUCCAAAGACAGAGGCAAAACUCCAUUGAACACAUGGCAGCAAAAGACAAUAAAACACAAAAAUAUAUAACUGUGCAGCCAUUGCACAAAACAGGUACAUUCAACAUAUCCCCAGAUAGCUCAGAUCUGAGCGCACAUUAUUACUGAAUGGCACUCAGAGCACACACAUACAGUUCAAUUGCCAUGGAGCCAAAGUCUUUCAUUAUACGAAUGGGCUCCAUGGCAUAGCUAUCUGGGGUAUCACCGCUCAAACAGGGCCAGCACCGAAUGACCAGGCUUUCGUGUCU